GCGCAGCAGUCGCGAAUAGUCUACAAUGGACGAAAGUCUGAUAGUGCGACGCCGUGUGUGCGAUUAAUUCCUUCGGGAUGUAAAGCACUUUUCUAUGAGAUAAAAGCUCUUUAGGUUAAUAGCUUAUUGAGACGGAUAUUAUUAUAGGAAUAAGCUCCGGCUAACUCCGUGCCAGCAGCCGCGGUAAUACGGAAGGAGCGAGCGUUGUCCGGAUUUACUAGGCGUAAAGGGCUAGUAGGCGACUAAUUAAGUUAUAUGUUAAAUCCCACGGCUCAACUGUGGUCCUGCAUGUAAUACUGGUUAGAUAGAGUACUGUAGAGGAAGGCAGAAUUCCUGGAGUAGCGGUGGAAUGCGCAGAUAUCAGGAAGAAUAUCAAAAGCGAAGGCAGCCUUCUGGGCAGUUACUGACGCUGAAUAGCGAAGGUGUGGGUAGCGAACAGGAUUAGAUACCCGGGUAGU
rnacentral:rRNA from 1 species